CACUGACAAAACUGUUAUUUCUUUUGAUCUCUUGAGCUAACUGAGUAGACUUAAUCACAGCGCAAUUUUCUUUGCUUUCGUGUCAAACGAUUAUGACAAACCAUUGUGGAAACAUUUUGUACAUUAGCAGUUAUUUAUUCUGCGCUUUCAUUAUUUACACCAUUCGCCAAAUUAGACCAUCUUGAAGUGCAAAGUAGUAAAUACAUACGCUUCAUGUCCAACGAGUAACAGUAAGAGUUCAAUGAAAAAGGGGUCUAAUACUUUCCGCUUUCACUAUUUUAUGUUGCAUUUAGGGAAAAAGUUAUGAUGAGUAAACACCAACUAAAAUUGACCACAUAACUUAAUAUUGGUUACAGAUUCACUGGACAAGCACCAGAAGUAAUUUGCAUGUAUAGCAGUGAAAUAGAGACUUGCUA